CGCGAGUCUCUCUGGGCAGAGGAGCAGGCCCCAGCUUCCUAUAGGAGUGUGCUGGCUUCAUCUUAUGUAACAUCGCAGUGUUUUUUCUCUUUUUCCUGGAAGGAGAACAGCAAGAACUCCCCAAGGCUGCAGAUGGCUCCAAGUUCUUCUGGGUGGUGAAAUGCCAAGCGGAUGGCAACGACUGAUCAGGAAUUUAUUGGGACUUAGGAGAGGCAUAGUUGGGUGCUGAGCAUAAGGAUAACUUUUAAAGCAAACAGAUUUGGGCUCAAGUCCUAACCCUGCCAUUCAUGAGCAUGUGGCUGUCUAAGACUCAAUUUCUACAGCAAUCAAAGAGCAAGAAUGAUGCUAACCACUCACGGGUGCUGUGAGGUGCAGGCAGAUUCUGCAGGAAAUCCAGGCCUGUUUUACUUGGGGUCUAGAAGCUGGGAACCUGCUAACACCCAGCCCCAUCUUUCCUCAAGGAGUCCCUGAGUCCUUUUGCUAAGAGCUACAGAAAGGGGUGCUGUAGAGGAGACAAUCCUGGAGCAAGCACCUCCCAUGGUCCCUGUUAUGCAGCUAAGACCACCCAAGUAAGGAAGGGAAGGGGAGCCCAGGACAGCUGCUGACCCUCAGGAGCCAUGCUCUGACGGCCCCCACUGUUCCGCUGUGACACUUCUCUCCUGCUGCCCUCUCUGCCUUCACAUGAAUUUCAUGUACUUGUGAUAGGCCUCCACCGCGAGGGUCGCUGCUCCUGCCCCUGCAUUAACUUCCACAUCUUCCCACCAAAAGCAUCGUAGAGGUCACCCACUGCCCAGUUUCAAGUCCACACAGGCACACAAGGCCAUUUCCAGCUCAUUGCCUGUGCUCUGAGCAUGUUUCAAUCCCUACCAGGCUCUAGGUGCUGUUUAAUCUUCAUUCCUAGAACACACUCUCUUUUUGUUCAACUCAUCAGAUUUCAAGAGUUGGCUCAGGUAUAAAUUCCCUAAACUGGUCCCUUUGGAAAAUGUUGGACAUAUAGAAAAGUUAGAACAGUAAGAUGAAAAUUACUCGUCACAACUCCACAAUUUAGAGGUGACUACGAUUCACAUUUCCAGUGUUUCCCUCCCAACUCUAUUUUUAAUAUAAUUGACAUCACAGAACCCUUAGAUCUGCUUCUCCCAGUACAAUAUGUACAGAGGGCUGAGACAGCCAGCCAGUGUUCUUCCCAAUCACAGUGGAAAAGCACCCAGUAGGAAUGAUGUCAGGUGUGAGGUUUCUGUAGCUGUUUUAUCAGGCUAAGGGAGGUGCCUUGUAUCAGAAAGGAAGCUUCCUGAGUGUUCUUAACCAAGAAAAUGUAUUAGAUUUUGUCCAAUACUUUUUUUUUUGCAUCUAUCAAGAGGGCUGCAUGGUUUUGUAUCUUAUGUUACUCAGCUGGACAACUGCACUCAUGUAUUUUCACAUAUUAAACCACCCUUGCAUUCCUAGGACAAAUCUCACAUGGUCACGGUGUGAAGUUUGUUAAUGUUUCUGAAUCCAUAGUUUUUUAGUAUUUUUCAUGUGUUUAAUAGUAUUUUAUAUUCAUGAGCAAUACUGAAUCAUAGUUUUGUUUUCUUGUGAGAUCUGUUUUGUUUUAGGCAUCCAAAAUACUGGUUACUUACAAUGGCUUAGGAAGUAUUCCUUCUUUUUGGAGGGAAAGAAUUUAUGUUCAUUCUUUGUAAAAUGUUUGGGAGUUUUCAACCGUGAAGCUACGUGGGUCUGGGCUUUGCUUUGUGGGUAGUUUUUUGGGGUUUUUUUUGCUUACUAAUUCAAUGUUAUUACUUGCUCAUAGUUUUCCUUUAAAAUCCUCUGUAUCUCUGAAAAAUUGUUAAUAAUAUCCCUCUUUCAUUCCUGAUUCUAGUAAUUUGAGUCUUUUUCUGU